GACGAACGCUGGCGGCGUGCUUAACACAUGCAAGUCGAACGCUGAAGCUUGGUGCUUGCACUGGGUGGAUGAGUGGCGAACGGGUGAGUAAUACGUGAGUAACCUGCCCUUGACUCUGGGAUAAGCCUGGGAAACUGGGUCUAAUACUGGAUACGACAUGUCACCGCAUGGUGGUGUGUGGAAAGGGUUUUACUGGUUUUGGAUGGGCUCACGGCCUAUCAGCGUGUUGGUGGGGUAAUGGCUCACCAAGGCGACGACGGGUAGCCGGCCUGAGAGGGUGACCGGCCACACUGGGACUGAGACACGGCGCAGACUCCUACGGGAGGCAGCAGUGGGGAAUAUUGCACAAUGGGCGGAAGCCUGAUGCAGCGACGCCGCGUGAGGGAUGACGGCCUUCGGGUUGUAAACCUCUUUCAGCACGGAAGAAGCGAAAGUGACGGUACGUGCAGAAGAAGCGCCGGCUAACUACGUG
rnacentral:rRNA from 1 species